GAUUCCGUAGCUCAGCUGGGAGAGCAUUACCUUGACAGGGUAGGGGUCGCUGGUUCGAGUCCAGUCGGAAUCACUA
rnacentral:tRNA from 1 species